rnacentral:RNase_P_RNA from 2 species
CGAAGGGGAAGAGAUGGUCGCUCCUCGGCUUCUGCUGUUGAGCAGGAGAAGUGAGGGGAGGAAAGUCCGAGCUCCACAGGGCAAGGUGGUCCGUAAUGCGGACGGCCCGUUGUGAAGCAGGCGCAGCCGCCACUUCACAGGGGGUAAGGAAAGUGCCACAGAAAAGAUACCGCCCUGUGGAAUAGGUGCAGUGGAACUAAUUUAUCUCGGGGACGGAUCGAACUGACGACGUCUCCGGGCAAAAUCAGCAAUGCUCUUAUUCCCAGGGUAAGGGUGAAAAGGUGAGGUAAGAGCUCACCAGUACCUCGAGUGAUCGGGGUAGCUUGGUAAACCCCGCCUGGAGCAAGACCAAAUAGGUCCCGCUUUCCCCCGUGGAAUGGCGGCUUCGCCUAUUCCACAGGGGGAGAAGAACGGCCCGUUCGAAUAGACUCCGUAAAAGGAGAAAGGCGGGACGGGUAAGGUCGCUUGAGGUCUUGAGCAAUCAGGAUCCUAGAUAAAUGGCCAUCAUCUCCAUCCGGCCCUGCCUGCCGGCAGGCAGGCACCGGCGGGAUGGGGACACAGAACUCGGCUUACGGUCCCCUUCGAAAA